rnacentral:rRNA from 1 species
GAUGAACGCUGGCGGCGUGCCUAAUACAUGCAAGUCGAGCGAACAGACGAGGAGCUUGCUCCUCUAACGUUAGCGGCGGACGGGUGAGUAACACGUGGAUAACCUACCUAUAAGACUGGGAUAACUUCGGGAAACCGGAGCUAAUACCGGAUAAUAUAUUGAACCGCAUGGUUCAAUAGUGAAAGACGGUUUUGCUGUCACUUAUAGAUGGAUCCGCGCCGCAUUAGCUAGUUGGUAAGGUAACGGGUUACCAAGGCGACGAUGCGUAGCCGACCUGAGAGGGUGAUCGGCCACACUGGAACUGAGACACGGUCCAGACUCCUACGGGAGGCAGCAGUAGGGAAUCUUCCGCAAUGGGCGAAAGCCUGACGGAGCAACGCCGCGUGAGUGAUGAAGGUCUUCGGAUCGUAAAACUCUGUUAUUAGGGAAGAACAAAUGUGUAAGUAACUAUGCACGUCUUGACGGUACCUAAUCAGAAAGCCACGGCUAACUACGUG